rfam:Schistosoma mattheei strain Denwood, Zambia genome assembly, scaffold: SMTD_scaffold0013286
AUCCAGCUGACAAGUCCAAAAUAGAACGAAACGUACGUUUUGUAU